AUUUUUCCUCCUUCACUUUGCCACAUUCAUGUCUUCGCUUUUGAUUUCCAAGCCAUACAACUGACAGCAUCAUCCUGAGGAACAUUGUUGGGUGCAGUGAACCAGGUUUAAAAGGCCAGCAAGAAUGUAUGAAAUAAAAGAAGGAAGAGAGACAGAGAAAACUGCUGAAGAGAAAAGUAAGGGUUGCCUCCUUCCUCCUCUUUUUCUCAAAAUUCUGGACAUCAAAGAAAGCCUUCCUGAAGGUGGCUCCAUUUGAUAAAGGUUAAGUUAGACAAUCCAGGAUCAGCUCAACUGCAAAUUCUUAUCAGAGUGGAAAAAACAACAAUAACUG